rnacentral:rRNA from 1 species
UACGUAGGUCCCGAGUGUUGUCCGGAUUUAUUGGGCGUAAAGCGAGCGCAGGUGGUUUAUUAAGUCUGGUGUAAAAGGCAGUGGCUCAACCAUUGUAUGCAUUGGAAACUGGUAGACUUGAGUGCAGGAGAGGAGAGUGGAAUUCCAUGUGUAGCGGUGAAAUGCGUAGAUAUAUGGAGGAACACCGGUGGCGAAAGCGGCUCUCUGGCCUGUAACUGACACUGAGGCUCGAAAGCGUGGGGAGCAAACAGG